rnacentral:rRNA from 1 species
UACAGAGGGUGCGAGCGUUAAUCGGAAUUACUGGGCGUAAAGCGUGCGUAGGCGGUUUGUUAAGACAGGUGUGAAAUCCCCGGGCUUAACCUGGGAACUGCGCUUGUUACUGGCAGACUGGAGUGUGGCAGAGGGGGGUGGAAUUCCAGGUGUAGCAGUGAAAUGCGUAGAUAUCUGGAGGAACACCGAUGGCGAAGGCAGCCCCCUGGGCUAACACUGACGCUGAUGCACGAAAGCGUGGGGAGCAAACAGG